UGUCAUGGAGGCCCCUGAAGUUGGAGUCAGUAGCCACGAGGAAAAUCGAGUAUUGCGGACAGUGCCUUUGCUAGCAGCGUGCCUCCCCAAAGAUAAGUGUCAGGUCAAGAUUGGUCGACGUUUCAACGAAGACAGUCACAUGCCGACACUAGGGGUGUUUCCCUGGUAAACCCUUCAAGGGAGACAAAAGAAGAAGGUCGAUGUUAUUCUCCGAGGUGAAAUUCAUCAUGGGGAAAAAUGAAUAUUGUUUAAACGUAAGAGCCAAACUCAUAUGCUGUUGGAAGUCAAGCAGAGUUUAAAUUGUAAAU